AUUUGAGAUGCGCCCGGUGAGACAGGAAACCUGAGAUCUGUGCUGAGUUGGAAAACACAGCCCGCGUCCCCCAAGCGUCCGACCCUGAUCUUCCAGGCCUGUCCUAGGGUCAGGGGCCCCUUUCUGAGGAUCCUCACCUGGAACUCCACUCGAAGUUUCCUCAGUAGAUGAGUCAGCUCUACCGCCCGGCAGCCCUGCACGAAGUGAACAUGGUCCUGCCGAACAUUUGUAGAGCAGCUAAGACAGUGCAGUAUUGACGUCGCUUACCUCUAGAGGGUGUUGUGACUUCAGGGGACGAUCAAUAUAAGCCACCACCUCCAGCUUCCCGAAGUAACUGGGACUCACUCAACCAAGCGUCCCAGGCCACCACGCAGGGCAAGAUCUUCUAGUGGAUCUGUUGGACCUUGCUGGAUGGAGAAGAAGGGAAAAUAGAGUUUGCUGCGUCUGCCACCCCCACUCUAGUGGAGGAAGCUUGGCUCACUGUGGGUGCUAGUGAGAGUGGAAACCAUUCCCAUCAUCCUUUGCUGAGCACACAGCUGAAGUCCUGUCACAGAAGACAGCUUAACGGCUUAAUGAGCAGGAUUCAGAGCAUCCUGGUGGAAAAACCAACCUUCCUUCCUUUUUUUCUGGCAAGACCAGAGAUGGAAGCUAGUGUCUUGCACAUGCGCAGAAAGCUAUUCAUGCAGAGAAAGGUAAGCUACCACUGCUCCGGCUUUUUAUCCAAGUUGCCAAAUUGUUGCCCUUUGACAAUGCUAGCAGAACAGGGGUGGGGGUGGGGUUAUCCCAGGGGAGACCUCUGAUUGACUGAGCCUGAGAUACACUGUAUUAUUUGGGGUUCUCGAGAGGAACAGAAUUGAUAGAAUGUAUAGAAUGUGGUUCAAUUAGCCCAACAGAAUGUCCAACAAUCCAGCAGUUAUUCAGUCCAUGAGGUUGAAUGUUUCAGCUGGUCUUCAGUAUACACUGGAAUCCCAAAGAAGCGCUAAAGCCAGUGAAGAAAUGGGCUUGCCAGUGAGAGCAAACAGGCAGAGAGCAAGCUUCCUUCUUCCAUGUCUUUUUUAUAGGCUGCCAGCAGAAGUUAUGGCCCAGAUUAAACGUAGAUGCUCCUAUCUCAAAAGAUCUGUAUUAAAAUGGGUCUUCCUGGGUUGGGGAU
rnacentral:sRNA from 1 species